rnacentral:rRNA from 1 species
GACACGCUGGCGGCGUGCCUAACACAUGCAAGUCGAGCGGAGUCGAUCGACGGAAGCCUUCGGGCGGAAGAUGGUUGACUUAGCGGCGGAUGGGUGAGUGACGCGUGGGCAACCUGCCUCGAAGACCGGGAUAACAGCCCGAAAGGGCUGCUAAUACCGGAUGUGGUCAAGGAUCCGCAUGGAUUUUUGAUUAAAGGGGAAACCCGUUUCGAGAUGGGCCCGCGUCCUAUCAGCUAGUUGGUGAGGUAAAAGCUCACCAAGGCGACGACGGGUAGCCGGCCUGAGAGGGUGACCGGCCACACUGGAACUGAGACACGGUCCAGACUCCUACGGGGGGCAGCAGUGGGGAAUCUUCCACAAUGGGCGAAAGCCUGAUGGAGCGACGCCGCGUGAGCGAAGAAGGCCUUCGGGUUGUAAAGCUCUGUCUGGAGGGACGAAGGAAGUGACGGUACCUCCGGAGGAAGCCACGGCUAACUACGUG